rnacentral:rRNA from 1 species
UACGUAGGGUGCAAGCGUUGUCCGGAAUUAUUGGGCGUAAAGAGCUUGUAGGCGGUUUGUCGCGUCUGCUGUGAAAUUUCGGGGCUCAACCCCGAACUUGCAGUGGGUACGGGCAGACUAGAGUGUGGUAGGGGAGACUGGAAUUCCUGGUGUAGUGGUGAAAUGCGCAGAUAUCAGGAGGAACACCGAUGGCGAAGGCGGGUCUCUGGGCCGAUACUGACGCUGAGGAGCGAAAGCGUGGGGAGCGAACAGG